AUGCGCCCGGUGUACAUGUAUUCGAUAACGGCUUCCACCGUGUCGGGUUCGGGCCCGGGCUCGGAGCUCCACUUGCGCAUCUCCACCCGGCCCGAGCGGGACUCGGAGAACUGGCCCGAGAGCAGGGGCGUGAAGUACUCGGUGGCGGCGGCCAGCACCGAGCGGUGGGCCCGGAACUCGCGGCCUCCCGCACCGCCGAAGCACAAGGUAAUGUCGCAGAAGAGGCCCUGGCGCCGCUGCUCGUUCUGCCUCCAUGACAGCUCCGAGCAGUGAGAGCUGCACUCGAAAUCCUCGGCCUCCGGGCCCGGGUCGCCCCCGCUCGCCUCCAUUGCAGACAAGCCAGGCCCAGGCCCGAAGUCCACCGUGCCGCUGCCUCUGACUUCGGCGGCCAGCCCCGCCGAGCCGGCGGCGGCCGUCUCCAUGCUCUCCAUCUCUAGCACCUGCAGAGAUGCAGCCGCGGCCGCCGCUGCUGCCGCCGCCACCGCCGCCGCCGCCAUCUUGACGUCGCCGCCCCCAACACCACCCCCCCAGUCUCCGAAGGAUACGGCUGUUCUGGUGCGACACAGAGGGAUUCUGGGAAUAAAUAGUGGGCGCGGGGCGGAGCCGGCCGCCGCUGGGUUUGCGCAUGCGCCUCCCCACCCGACCUAACGCGCCCCCUCAGGGACUUCCCUGGUGGCGCAGUGGUUAAGAAUCCACCUGUCAAUGCAGGGGACACGGGUUCGAUCCCUGGUCCAGGAAGAUCCCACAUGCCGCAGAGCAAGUAAGCCCGUGAGCCACAACUACUGAGCCUGCGCUCUAGAGCCCGCAAGCCACAACUACUGAGCCCGUGUGCCACAACUACUGAAGCCCAUGUGCCUAGAGCCUGUGCUCCACAAGAGAAGCCACCGCAAUGAGAAGCUCGCGCACCACAACGAAGAGUAGCCCCCGCUCGCCACAACUAGAGAAAGCCUGCGUGCAGCAACAAAGACCCAACGCAGCCAAAAAUAAGUAAAUAAAUUUAUAAAUUAUUAAAAAGAAA